rnacentral:rRNA from 1 species
CUUCGGCCAAGUUGAAGGGAUGACUUAGUGGCGGACGGGUGAGUAACGCGUGAGGAACCUGCCUUUCAGUGGGGGACAACAUUUCGAAAGGAAUGCUAAUACCGCAUAAAAUAACAGUACCGCAUGAUACAGUUAUCAAAGAUUUAUCGCUGAUAGAUGGACUCGCGUCUGAUUAGAUAGUUGGUGAGGUAACGGCUCACCAAGUCGACGAUCGGUAGCCGGACUGAGAGGUUGAACGGCCACAUUGGGACUGAGACACGGCCCAGACUCC